UACGUAGGUGGCAAGCGUUUGUCCGGAAUUAUUGGGCGUAAAGCGCGCGCAGGCGGUCCUUUAAGUCUGAUGUGAAAGCCCACGGCUCAACCGUGGAGGGUCAUUGGAAACUGGGGGACUUGAGUGCAGAAGAGGAAAGCGGAAUUCCACGUGUAGCGGUGAAAUGGCGUAGAGAUCCGGAGGAACACCAAAGGCGAAGGCAGUGUCCUGGGGAGUACCUGACGCUCAGGUGCGAAAGCCAGGGGAGCGAACGGG
rnacentral:rRNA from 1 species